AAUAUUGCACAAUGGGGGAAACCCUGAUGCAGCGACGCCGCGUGAGUGAAGAAGUAUUNCGGUAUNUNAAGCUCUAUCAGCAGGGNCGAGAAUGACGGUACCUGACUAAGAAGCCCCGGCUAACUACGUGCCAUCAGCCGCGGUAAUACGUAGGGGGCAAGCGUUAUCCGGAUUUACUGGGUGUAAAGGGAGCGUAGGUGGAGAGUCAAGUCAGAUGUGAAAGCCCGGGGCUCAAACCCGGGAUUGCAGUUGAAACUGGUUUGCUAGAGAGCAGAAGAGGUAAGUGGAAUUCCUAGUGUAGCGGUGAAAUGCGUAGAUAUUAGGAGGAUCACCAGUGGCGAAGGCGGCUUACUGGACUGUAACUGACACUGAGGCUCGAAAGCGUGGGGAGCAAACA
rnacentral:rRNA from 1 species